rnacentral:rRNA from 1 species
CAAUAGCGUAUAUUAAAGUUGUUGCAGUUAAAAAGCUCGUAGUCGUAUUUCUAGAUUGAGCAUAUUGUCCGGGCGUAUUGCGUCUGUGUACAUUGUUGUCUCGAUCUAUCCUUGUGGAGAGCUAGUUUGGCCUUAAUCGGUUGAGCUAGGGAUCUGCAUCAUUUACUGUGAAAAAAUUAGAGUGUUUAAAGCAGGCAUUUGCUGUGAAUACAUUAGCAUGGAAUAAUAAGAUAGGACUUUGGUACUAUUUUGUUGGUUUGCAUACCAAGGUAAUGAUGAAUAGGGACAGUUGGGGGUAUUCAUAUUUAGUUGUCAGAGGUGAAAUUCUUGGAUUUACGAAAGAUGAACUUAUGCGAAAGCAUUUACCAAGGAUGUUUUCAUUG